CUCGCUAUGCAGCUUGUGGUUCCACUUCCAGCAUUUGCAACUGCUGACAGCUGAUUAUGGGAGCGAAUUGACAACUUUGGUUGAAUUCCGCUCCCAUACUCAGCUAUCGGCAUUUGCAAACCUGCAGAUAUUACGAGAUCUGAGCGAG